rnacentral:rRNA from 1 species
UGGGGAAUAUUGGACAAUGGGCGAAAGCCUGAUCCAGCCAUGCCGCGUGUGUGAAGAAGGUCUUCGGAUUGUAAAGCACUUUAAGUUGGGAGGAAGGGCAUUAACCUAAUACGUCAGUGUUUUGACGUUACCGACAGAAUAAGCACCGGCUAACUCUGUGCCAGCAGCCGCGGUAAUACAGAGGGUGCAAGCGUUAAUCGGAAUUACUGGGCGUAAAGCGCGCGUAGGUGGUUUGUUAAGUUGGAUGUGAAAUCCCCGGGCUCAACCUGGGAACUGCAUUCAAAACUGACUGACUAGAUUAUGGUAGAGGGUGGUGGAAUUUCCUGUGUAGCGGUGAAAUGCGUAGAUAUAGGAAGGAACACCAGUGGCGAAGGCGACCACCUGGACUAAUACUGACACUGAGGUGCGAAAGCGUGGGGAGCAAACA